rnacentral:rRNA from 1 species
AGUCCUGGCGUCAGGAUGAACGCUGGCGGCGUGCUUAACACAUGCAAGUCGAACGGAGCACCCUGAAGGAGUUUUCGGACAACGGAAGGGGCUGCUUAGUGGCGGACGGUGAGUAACGCGUGAGGAACCUGCUUGGAUGGGAUAACAGCUGGAAACAGCUGCUAAUACCGCAUAAUAUAUCUGGGCCGCAUGGCUCUGGAUAUCAAAGAUUUAUCGCUCUGAGAUGGACUCGCGUCUGAUUAGCUGGUUGGCGGGGUAACGGCCCACCAAGGCGACGAUCAGUAGCCGGACUGAGAGGUUGGCCGGCCACAUUGGGACUGAGACACGGCCCAGACUCCUACGGGAGGCAGCAGUGGGGAAUAUUGGGCAAUGGGCGCAAGCCUGACCCAGCAACGCCGCGUGAAGGAAGAAGGCUUUCGGGUUGCAAACUUCUUUUGUCAGGGACGAAGCAAGUGACGGUACCUGACGAAUAAGCCACGGCUAACUACGUG